UACGUAGGGUGCGAGCGUUGUCCGGAAUUACUGGGCGUAAAGAGCUCGUAGGUGGUUUGUCGCGUUGUUCGUGAAAACUCACAACUCAAUUGUGGGCGUGCGGGCGAUACGGGCAGACUGGAGUACUGCAGGGGAGACUGGAAUUCCUGGUGUAGCGGUGAAAUGCGCAGAUAUCAGGAGGAACACCAGUGGCGAAGGCGGUUCUCUGGGCAUUACCUGACGCUGAGGAGCGAAAGUGUGGGGAGCGAACAGG
rnacentral:rRNA from 1 species